rnacentral:rRNA from 1 species
AUACGGAGGAUCCGAGCGUUAUCCGGAUUUAUUGGGUUUAAAGGGAGCGUAGGCGGAUGUUUAAGUCAGUUGUGAAAGUUUAAGGCUCAACCUUGAAAUUGCAGUUGAUACUGGACGUCUUGAGUGCAUUAAAUGUGGGCGGAAUUCGUGGUGUAGCGGUGAAAUGCCCCGAUAUCACGAAGAACUACCAUUGCGAAGGCAGCUCACAGGACUGUAACUGACGCUGAUGCUCGAAAGUGUGGGUAUCAAAGGAGAUUAGAUACCCUGGUAGUCGGCACAGGAAACGAUGAAUGAGAUGUGUUUGCGGUAGACAGGAAGCGGCCAAGCGAAGUAGUUAAGUAUUCCACCUGGGGAGUACGCCGGCAACGGUGA